rnacentral:misc_RNA from 1 species
GGGUUGAUAUACGCAGCCUUACCCCUAUAUUUGCCUAUGUUUUAGAAAAUUUUUACUACACCCUGAAUCCAUAUCAUUUGGUCAUUCUAUUUUAUUUUAUUUUAUUUUGCACCUGAACUGUCAUGUGCCCUUUACUAGCAUUGUUAACAACAUCCCAGAACUUGAAGAGUGAAAACCCAAUUUAUGUAAAAAUGUAGAGUCCAUAGGUCUAUCCAUUUUUGCUUAAACUGUUAUCUAUUACACUCUGAGAUACUCUAAUGUAAUUCCUAGCGCUAGACUCAAACUGGAACCCUUGAAUUGUUUUGAGGCACAUUUUGUGAUACAAGGUGCUAUCCUAUCAACAAAUGAUCAAUGUGGAUAUUGUCAUGACUGGAAGGUUCAAAAUGCUUAUGUUGAUAAGUUUCACAAUGAUUUAUUCAGAUCUGAAAAAUAUGAAAUUAUAUUAAUUGAGGUUGCCAGUGUUUUUUGUGUGAAAUGCCAAGGUGGGAAAGACAUUUUUGUCAUGUACUGUGCAUGAAGAGCAGAGGAUUCAUUGAGACUUCAGUUCAUGGAUUUCAAAUUUUCUCACGUUUAACUUGAUUGGCUAUUACUUGAGAACAAAGAUGGGAUCAGAUAAGACAUGUAACAUGGUGUAGGUACCUUGUCAUAUUAAGAGGGCAUCAACAUCAAGGGAGUCUCUAUUCCAUUUUGUGGGAAAAUAAAAUAUAAGAAGGCAACUUUGGAAAUAUAUUCUUUAUCUGACCUUACCUUUAGAAGUUGAAAUUUUUUGUUGCUUAUAGAUACUUGGUUUUGUUUACCUUUCUUUGAAGUAGCAAUCUACUUGAAGAUGAAGAUGAGAUUUUAACUGUUUGCUGCUAAAGUGCUCAGCUUCAUAAGCAUUACAUGUUUUACCAAUAUUGUUCAUAGUACAAUAUAGUAAAACUGAAGCAGGUAUGCCUCUUGUGAUGUAAAAAUGCAUUACCCAAAUGUGAAAUUUUAUAUAUUUAACAUAAUUUAGAUAUGGUAGGUGGCUUGUGCGUAUGUGAAUGUAUGGAAUGUAGGGCAAAGUUUGUGCAUGCAUGUGUGUGUGUGUGU